CUGGAAGAUACUUGAAUCACAGGACUGAAUAAGGAAGAGCUGCCCUCAGCGUGGCCGGGCAACAUCUAAUCGGCUGAAAGCUUGGAUCGAAUGAAAAGGCAGAGGAAAGGUGAAUUUUCUUUUUAUCCUGGAGCUGGACACCCUGUUUCUCCUGCCUGUGGACAUCAGAAUUCUAGGCUCUGUGGCAUUUCAACUGUAAAACUUGCACUAGUAGCCAGCUGGUUUCUCAAGUCGUUGGCUUCAAAACUGAGAAGUACAGCAUUCUCUUCCCAGGUUCUGAAGACCUCAAAUGGACUGAGCCACACUACCAGCAUCCAGCAUCCAUGGUUCUCCAGUCUGCAGAUGGCCUAUUAUGGGACUUUUCAGUCUUCAUAAUUAUAUGAGAGAAAGAAAAUGAAAAGGAUUUGUAAACUAUAAAUCUCUAAACAGAUGGGAGGAAAGGAAUUGAUGAAACAAUAAAUUUAUUGAUGAAACAAUAAAAAUAAACAUAAAGAACCAAAGUUAUUCUCACAAUCACCACUCCUAACUUUUGAUGCUCCUGUCCAGAAAACUGAGCAAAAGAGUGGCUGAAGAAUAGGAAUGAUGAAGAGAAGAAGUAAAAACACCUGGGUCUUGCUGUCACUCAGGGUGGAGUGCUGUGGUGU
rnacentral:lncRNA from 1 species